ensembl:lncRNA
GCCUCAGGAGUCCAGGACAAACCGUCCACAUCACCUCGACCUGUUUGGGUCUCCCUCUCGAAGCUGUUUUAUUCUUCCUCAUGGAAACAUUUUGGGUCAAUAAUUUUUUGUACCUAAUAAAAGGAUCAAAUCAGUCUUGUUCUAAAGUCUUGGCUGGCUGGCGAGAUCAGAUCAUGACCUUCAGUCCGGAGCCGUCAUGGGCCUCCUGCUGCCGGGAAACCAGAUCCCGAGCAUUUAGUGAGACAGGAUCAGCUCGUGCGGUGCGAACGGGCCAACUAAACGGUCUAUUUCUGCUUAAUCCUGACUUCCUGUUUGGCUCCACCACCGUUGUAAGCGAUGCUGCUGGAAAAAUCUGCUGCUGCUGGACGAGCGGGGAGCAGGACGGAUCGGAUCCCCCGCACACCUGCAGGAUUUGGCUCUGAUGUGGAAACAGGGAUCAGGAAUAUUUAUACACGCUUACAUAACCAGCCUCACCAUUCAACAUCCAGAUCAGUGUUUCUGUACCACUAUCGCACACACACGCCUCCCCCAUCACCUCCCCCUCUGCAGAGGAGAUACCAGUGCUCUUAGAAACUCCCCUGGUUGCCUAGCAACUGGUCCUGAGGAUUGCCAAAGAG